CAAGUGUCAAUUGGCCCCUUCAGUCACAGCUGUACAAAUGACGGGAGUUUUUAAUUGGCAUAAGACAUAUACGUUAUUCAUCUAUUCAGUUUCAUCUGAAGGAAAUCCAAUAAAGACACAGUUUUACUUUCCGAUGAAAUAUUUAAAGCUACUUUUUCCCCACGAGAAAUUGGGCUGAGAACUCCAUCCAUGAGCUAUAUGAGGAAGUUGAGGCACAGAGAAGUGAAACAACUUGCCAAAGGUCACACAUCAAACCUUUGUUGACCAUGGGUAACAAACUGCAGAAAGCAAAACCACAGAUCAGGGGGCGCUACUGUACUCAAGAAACUGGGAACGCAGGUCACUUUUGCCAAAAAGGACAGGAGACCACCUGGAGAACUGGAGUCAGAAGGACACGUUCACUCUUCCAGGAAGACAUCAUCAGAGGAGAAUGAAAGAAGAAAAAAAGGUUUAUGAAAACAGAAAAUUAAAGCCAUUUCUUUCAAAGCAGCGCACAGACAAGAGCCUGACCGUUGAAAUCACAGGGAGAAUUACCUUUACCCAUGCAAUGCUGGGAGUUCUGGCGUCUCUUCAGCACAAAUCAGCAGCCUACGUAACUGGCAAGUCUAAACCAAUGCCUCGGGGACAUCUUUGAGCACCAAAUAGCAAAACCGAUAUACCUUCUAGAUAUUUCAUUGCUAAAAUAUACCUGUUGAGGAUGAAUGGAGGUCAAGAGGCAAGGAAAUGGGACUCAGUAGUAGUAUUUCAACUUACUACCUAAAUGGUCUCCAAUGCUUCGGUUUAAAAGUUCAGAUGACAAAAGGGGUCCAGACAACUGCUUGUGGAUAGUAAGGGAGGAUCAUGUCCUACGACUAGCUGAAAGCAACACACCCAAACCCAGAAGACUGUACAAUUGGUUCUUCACUCAAGUCCAAAUGAUGUAAUCCAUCUCAUACAGUGAUGUAAUCCACCCUGUACAACAUUCAAAGUGUGGUGAGGAAUUGAAAGUGGCAUCGUAGUCUAGUUAACUCAUUCCUGGGCACUAUGGGAGUAGGACUCAAUCCCUUACUUUGGGGAACCCCGUAAGUACACCCCAUUAGUGGUCAGUGAGUGGCUCUCCCUUGCCAUUCUCCCAAACGUUC